GUUGGUUUAGAGGUACACACAGAGGGUGCCACAGUCCAGUUCAGAACCAGACCAGUCCAUCCUGGGAUCAAAAACAGUCAAAGCUGGAUUGACUGAAACCGGACCGAAACGGAACAGUUCAGUUUUGGGCCAAAACUGAAUUAAGACCUUUAAAAAAAUUUAAAAGUUUUGACCAUUGGAUAUAAUCAAAACCGGGCCGAAACGGAGGGGGUCCCUUUAGUUUGAUUCAGUCUCCCAAGCCCUGGAACUGGAACCGGAUCCGGAUUGUGGCUGGUCCUAGAUUUUUAACUUUUUUAUGAUGAAGUAAUUUUCUUUCGUGGGAGUAAGAGGAGAAAUGUAUUCUGAAAUGGCUGGAUUGGUUGGAUAAAGAUCAUUUGAUUAUUGCUAAACAGUUCCUGAAGUUGCUGUAUUAAUUAGAUUGAGGUUAUUUGAUUAUCCAAUUGCUUAAGUUUCUUGAUGCAUGUCUCAUUGUUUAAUCAUUUUAAUGUUAUAAUGAUGGACAAGAGUGUUUGAUUUUUGGUGCAGAAAUAAGGGGAUACUGUUUGU
rnacentral:misc_RNA from 1 species